rnacentral:rRNA from 1 species
UACGUAGGGUGCGAGCGUUGUCCGGAAUUACUGGGCGUAAAGAGCUCGUAGGUGGUUUGUCGCGUUGUCCGUGAAAACUCACAGCUUAACUGUGGGCGUGCGGGCGAUACGGGCAGACUGGAGUACUGCAGGGGAGACUGGAAUUCCUGGUGUAGCAGUGAAAUGCGUAGAUAUCAGGAGGAAUACCGAUGGCGAAGGCAGGUCUCUGGGCUAUAACUGACGCUCAUGCACGAAAGCGUGGGGAGCAAACAGG